rnacentral:rRNA from 1 species
CCUACGGGUGGCUGCAGUGGGGAAUAUUGUACAAUGGGCGCAAGCCUGAUGCAGCCAUGCCGCGUGUGUGAAGAAGGCCUUCGGGUUGUAAAGCACUUUCAGCGGGGAGGAAGGCGUUAAGGUUAAUAACCUUGGCGAUUGACGUUACCCGCAGAAGAAGCACCGGCUAACUCCGCGCCAGCAGCCGCGGUAAUACGGAGGGUGCAAGCGUUAAUCGGAAUUACUGGGCGUAAAGCGCACGCAGGCGGUCUGUCAAGUCGGAUGUGAAAUCCCCGGGCUCAACCUGGGAACUGCGUUCGAAACUGGCAGGCUAGAGUCUUGUAGAGGGGGGUAGAAUUCCAGGUGUAGCGGUGAAAUGCGUAGAGAUCUGGAGGAAUACCGGUGGCGAAGGCGGCCCCCUGGACAAAGACUGACGCUCAGGUGCGAAAGCGUGGGGAGCAAACAGGAUUAGAUACCCCAGUAGUC